AACAAGGAAACAAAUUUAUUGAUUNUAAAAGACAAGACACCAUUUUGUUUUGAAAAACACAAGGAAGCUAGCCUGAGUUCAAGUCUGAAAUAUUCAGAAAAAUCCUACUAAUAUCUUUAGUAUGUUCCAGUCAUUUGUUUAAACAACACAAUUAUACAAAAAACCAUCACAUGUUAUUCGGUAAAGAUGUUUUUAAAUAAUUAAAAAGUUUAUUCAACUGUAGUCCAAAACUGGAAAAGAACAUUACAUUAUCUCACACAUACAAUCUCUACAAAAGUUGCUUACCUCAUUUACAUAAUAUAUUCAGUCGAUUGUAAAAUAAAUGUUCAAAUAUCUCCUAGUGUUACUAUGUUUCUGUGCUUGUGGGACUGAAUAAUGUAAUCUGCCACUUACUAAGUGAAAUUUAAAUGAUGGCAC
rnacentral:lncRNA from 1 species